rfam:Melampsora larici-populina 98AG31 unplaced genomic scaffold MELLAscaffold_1, whole genome shotgun sequence.
GGUGCUUUGUCCGAGUGGUUAAGGAGACGCCCUGCUAAGGCGUUGGGUUCUGCCCGCGCGAGUUCGAAUCUCGUAGGCAUCG